AUUGAACGCUGGCGGCAGGCUUAACACAUGCAAGUCGAGCGGGGUGAUGGUGCUUGCACUAUCACUUAGCGGCGGACGGGUGAGUAAUGCUUAGGAAUCUGCCUAUUAGUGGGGGACAACAUCUCGAAAGGGAUGCUAAUACCGCAUACGUCCUACGGGAGAAAGCAGGGGAUCACUUGUGACCUUGCGCUAAUAGAUGAGCCUAAGUCGGAUUAGCUAGUUGGUGGGGUAAAGGCCUACCAAGGCGACGAUCUGUAGCGGGUCUGAGAGGAUGAUCCGCCAGACUGGGACUGAGACACGGCCCAGACUCCUACGGGAGGCAGCAGUGGGGAAUAUUGGACAAUGGGGGGAACCCUGAUCCAGCCAUGCCGCGUGUGUGAAGAAGGCCUUAUGGUUGUAAAGCACUUUAAGCGAGGAGGAGGCUCUUUUGGUUAAUACCCAAGAUGAGUGGACGUUACUCGCAGAAUAAGCACCGGCUAACUCUGUGCCAGCCGCCGCGGUAC
rnacentral:rRNA from 1 species